rnacentral:ribozyme from 1 species
AACGAAAACGACAAUACGACACAACAAGAAGGGCAAGCAACAUCAAUGGCUAGUGAGAUCUACCAACAAAUCGCCAAAUUGUCCUAUUUAGGCGACUUUCGUGUCGCAUAU